CUGCUGGGGUCGUCUUCCAUAGUGUGGCAGCUUUGUUCUUUUGCUCUGUGCUGUAACUCUUGCUACUGCUCACUGUUUGGGUCCACACUGCUUUUAUGAGCUGUAACACUCACCGCAAAGGUCUGCAGCUUCACUCCUGAAGCCAGUGAGACCACGAGCUCACCAGGAGGAACGAACAACUCCAGAUGCGCCACCUUAAGAGCUGUAACGCCUUAAGAGCUGUAACACCGCGAAAGUCUGCAGUUUCACUUCUGAGCCAGCGAGAUGCGAACCCACCAGAAGGAAGAAACUCCAAACACAUCCGAACAUCAGAAGGAACAAACUCCAGAUGCGCCACUGUAAGAGCUGUAACACUCACCGCGAGGGUAUGCGGCUUCAUUCUUGAAGUCAGUGAGACCAAGAACCCACCAAUUCCGGACACAUUACCACUUGUAUAUUUCUGAAUCUACAGUUCUCUUCCAGGUUUUAGACUAAACAUGCUUUUUCUUCUAGUGGUGGGCCUAAAGAAAAAUGGGCGUUUCUCCAGUUAAUUUUCUUAUUCUUGUAGCUAUAUUUUUAAAAAUGUUGAGUUCUGUGUUAAUAAA
rnacentral:lncRNA from 10 species